rnacentral:rRNA from 1 species
UACGAAGGGGGCUAGCGUUGUUCGGAAUUACUGGGCGUACAGCGCAUGUAGGCGGCGAUUCAAGUCGGGGGUGAAAUCCCAGGGCUCAACCCUGGAACUGCCUUCGAUACUGUAUUGCUAGAGUAUGGAAGAGGUAGGUGGAACUGCGAGUGUAGAGGUGAAAUUCGUAGAUAUUCGCAAGAACACCAGUGGCGAAGGCGGCCAUCUGGACCGCAACUGACGCUGAGGCGCGAAAGCGUGGGGAGCAAACAGG